AUGGGAGUUGGGGCUCAGAUGAUUUUCCUUGUUGCACUUUUAAAAGGAGUCCAGUGUGAAGUACGGCUGGUGGAGUCUGGCGGAGGCUUGGUGCAGCCUUCAGGGUCCCUGAAACUCUCCUGUGAAGCUUCUGGAUUCACCUUCAGUAGCUAUGGCAUGAACUGGAUCCGCCAGGCUCCAGAGAAGGGACUGGAGUGGGUAGCAACUAUAUGGUAUGACGGAAGUCAGCAAAGGUACGCAAACUCAGUGAAGGGACGGUUCACCAUCUCCAGAGACAAUUCCAAGAAUAUGGUGUAUCUGCAAAUGAACAGUCUAAAAAACGAAGACACAGCCAUGUAUUACUGUGCAAAAGCCACAAAUGAUGCUGGUGGUCUGGACUUCUGGGGCCAAGGGACUCUGGUCACCAUUUCCUCAGUCUCUCAGUCCAAGCCAACUCUCUUUCCUCUCGUCUCCUGUGAGAACCCCAUGCCUGAUGAGAAUCUGGUGGCCAUCGGCUGCCUGGCUCGAGACUUCCUAACCAGCUCCAUUCCCUUCUUCUGGAACUACAAAAAUAACACUGAGGUCAUCCAAGGUGUCAGGACCUUCCCAGCAGUGCAUAUAGUAGACAAUACAUAUAUGGCUGUCUCGCGUGUGCUCCUGUCUUCCAAGGAUGCCCUUGAGGGCUCAGAUGACUACCUAGUAUGCAAAGCCCCACAUGGUACCAGCAACAAAAGCCGGAAUGUACACUUUCCAGUGAUAGCAGAGCUGCCCCCCAGUGUGAACGUGUUCAUCCCACCCCGUGAUGGCUUCUCUGGCCCUGGCAUUCGCAAGUCCAAACUCAUCUGCCAGGCCACUGGCUUCAGCCCCAAGCAGAUCACAGUAUCGUGGCUAGAGAAUUGGAAGCCUGUGAGAUCUGGCUUCAUCACAGACCAGGUCAUGGCUGAAGCCAAGGGGUCCGGUCCCACAACCUUCAGGGUCACAAGCAUGCUGACCAUCACUGAGAAUGACUGGCUGAACCUGAGGACGUACACCUGCAGCGUGGAUCACAGAGGGCUCACAUUCCUGAAGAAUGUGUCUUCCACAUGUGCUCCCAGUGCACCCACAGACAUUCAAGUCUUUGCCAUCUCACCCUCCUUUGCUGACAUCUUCCUCACCAAAUCAGCCAAGCUGUCCUGCUUGGUCACAGGCCUGACCACCUCUGACAGCUUGAACAUUUCAUGGGCCCGCCAGAGUGGUGAGCUACUGAAAACCCAACACUUUGACUCAAGCCACCCUAAUGGCACCUUCACUGCCAAGGGUGAGGCCAGUGUCUGCGUGGAAGACUGGGAAAAUGGAGAGCAGUUCACAUGUACUGUGACCCACAGGGAUCUGCCCUCACCACAGAAGAAGACCAUCUCCAGGCCUAAAGAUUUAGCCAAGCACCCACCUGCCGUAUAUGUGCUGCCACCAGCCCGGGAGCAGCUGAUCCUGAGGGAGUCAGCCACGGUCACCUGCCUGGUAAAGGGUUUCUCUCCCCAAGACGUCUUCGUGCAGUGGCUCCAGAGGGGACAACCUUUGUCCGACGACAAGUAUGUGACCAGUGCCCCGAUGCCUGAGCCCCAGGCCCCAGGCCUGUACUUCACUCACAGCAUCCUGACAGUGACUGAGGAGGAAUGGAACUCUGGGGAGACCUUCACCUGUGUCGUGGGCCAUCAGGCCCUGCCUCACAUGGUGACUGAGAGGACCGUAGACAAGUCCACCGAGGGGGACGUGAGUGCCGAGGAGGAGGGCUUCGAGAACCUGUGGACUACCACCUCCACCUUCAUUGUCCUCUUCCUUCUGAGCCUCUUCUACAGCACCACUGUCACCCUGUUCAAGGUAAAGUGACUCACCCAUGGAUGGAAGGAUACCAGAGACCAAAAGACCAACCUACAAGGGCACUACCUCGAGGCCUGGGGUGGGCUGGCCCGUGUGGCCAAUAAACCUGUUCCUCAAUCUUCCUGAUGUUGCCCUCCAUCUUUGAGCUCUAAGACACACUUCUCUCUAGACUGGCCAAAGGUCUUGCUCACCCUCUGGAGCCCAUGGCCAGGUGUGCCACAUGGCUGCGCUGUGUACAUGUGUGACUUGGAAAUAAAUAGUUUAGCUUGAGAAA